UACGGAGGGGGCGAGCGUUUGUCCGAAGUUACUGGGCGUAAAGCGCGCGUAGGCGGGCUGGCAAGUCCGCUGUGAAAGCCUGCGGCUUAACCGCAGAGGGUCGGUGGAUACUGCCAGUCUUGAAGGUGCUAGGGAGAGAUGGAAUUACCGGUGUAGCGGUGAAAUGCGUAGAGAUCGGUAGGAACACCAGUGGCGAAGGCGGUCUCUUGGAGCACUCUUGACGCUGAGGCGCGAAAGCUGGGGGGAGCGAACGGG
rnacentral:rRNA from 1 species